UGAACGCUAGCGGCAGGCUUAACACAUGCAAGUCGAGGGGUAUUAGUUUUCGGACUAAGAGACCGGCGCACGGGUGCGUAACGCGUAUGCAAUCUACCUUUCACAAAGGGAUAGCCCAGAGAAAUUUGGAUUAAUACCUUAUAGUAUAACGACUUCGCAUGGAGAUGUUAUUAAAGAUUUAUCGGUGAAAGAUGAGCAUGCGUCCCAUUAGCUAGUUGGUAAGGUAACGGCUUACCAAGGCUACGAUGGGUAGGGGUCCUGAGAGGGAGAUCCCCCACACUGGUACUGAGACACGGACCAGACUCCUACGGGAGGCAGCAGUGAGGAAUAUUGGUCAAUGGGCGCAAGCCUGAACCAGCCAUGCCGCGUGCAGGAUGACGGUCCUAUGGAUUGUAAACUGCUUUUGUACAGGAAGAACACUCCCUCGUGAGGGAGCUUGACGGUACUGUAAGAAUAAGGAUCGGCUAACUCCGUGCCAGCAG
rnacentral:rRNA from 1 species